rnacentral:rRNA from 1 species
GACGAACGCUGGCGGCGUGCUUAACACAUGCAAGUCGAACGGAAAGGCCCUGCUUUUGUGGGGUGCUCGAGUGGCGAACGGGUGAGUAACACGUGAGUAACCUGCCCUUGACUUUGGGAUAACUUCAGGAAACUGGGGCUAAUACCGGAUAGGAGCUCCUGCUGCAUGGUGGGGGUUGGAAAGUUUCGGCGGUUGGGGAUGGACUCGCGGCUUAUCAGCUUGUUGGUGGGGUAGUGGCUUACCAAGGCUUUGACGGGUAGCCGGCCUGAGAGGGUGACCGGCCACAUUGGGAUGGAGAUACGGCCCAGACUCCUACGGGGGGCAGCAGGGGGGAAUUUUGCAAAAGGGGGGGAAGCCUGAGGCAGCAACGCCGCGGGCGGGAGGACGGCCUUCGGGUUGAAAACCGCUUUCGCCUGUGACGAAGCGGGGGUGCCGGUAAUGGGUAAAGAAGCACCGGCUAACUACGU